UUCGGAUGGAAUCGAUAAGUUCUAGCGGCGGACGGGUGAGUAACGCGUGAGCAACCUGCCCUCCACAGGGGGAUAACGCACCGAAAGGUGCACUAAUACCGCAUAAGACCACGUUUCUGACAUGGGAAUGAGGUCAAAGGAGCAAUCCGGUGGAAGAUGGGCUCGCGUCUGAUUAGCUAGUUGGUGAGGUAACGGCCCACCAAGGCGACGAUCAGUAGCCGGCCUGAGAGGGUGAUCGGCCACAUUGGAACUGAGAGACGGUCCAAACUCC
rnacentral:rRNA from 1 species